ACAGCCUCGUCGAUGAUGGCACGGCUCUCCCACGGAGGCGAUCUCACACCCUGCACCACUUCAACAAGAUUGAGACAAUCGGAUUCUACCUCCAAAUUUGCGUCAUGGAGUUGUUGUCAAAGUAGAUGGCGAAGGGAAAAUGCGAUCGACCCCUCGUUGCCACCCGCCUUAAAGCUUCCAUCAAUAUUGCAUUUGAGGGUACCCAGCUCCGGAGGACGACGGAGUUGAGCUGGAUCGAAGAGAGGGAAGACCAAAGCUCUGUCGAGAUGUAGCAGAUGAGAUCUGGUAUGUACUGGUAAGAGCAAUAGUUGUCUGUACAGCGAGGGAGGAAUCCGGGAGCUGAUUGCGAAAAAUAAAGUUAUUCCGCAUCCGCCAGAUCUGCCAAAGGAUGUUAGCAACAAGCGCGAAUCCAGGAUAAGAUGCUGAAGUAUUAAUGAGGAUAGGACUAUGGUCAGAUCCGACUGCUGGAAAUGCAUAAAUUUCUGCCCCGGGAAACAAGAAUUGCCAUUCCAUAGUGUAUACCACCCGGUCCAAUUUUUCCUUAACCAAUUCUUCCCCCUCUCUAUUGUUCAUCCAUGUGUACUUACAACCAUUGCUUUCUAACUCAGUAAAAGCACAAUCAUUAAGGACAGCUCUGAAUGACAUCAUUCUAGAUUGGUUAGCAGGUCUUUUCCGCAUCUUUUCCCAAGGAUAGCGAAGUUCAUCAAAAUCUCCCGCACAUAUCAAAGGUAAAGUAUUAGUAGAAUGUAUCUGUCUAAGCUCUUUCCAUACAAGUAAACAUUGUUGAUAGUUAGUCAGAGCAUGAAUAAAAGUAAGUUGUAUAGAUCUCCCUCCUUGUUGAAAGCUACCGCUCAAGUCCAAAACAGUGCUAAUCCACCAACAAGACCCACCGGGUUGAGAAUAUGAGAAUGUUCGAACUUUAAACAUCUUUGAAUUUGAAGAAGCUUGGCCUCAGGGUUCUUAGUUUCCUUUAAAAAAAUUACCGUGGGUUUUUCUUUGGCCUUCAUGGCCUUGAGAGCCUAAACUGUCAGGGGGUUGCCCAACCCCUAACAGUUCCAGCAUAGUAUCUUCAUUUGUCUACUGGUGGCUGUUUGGGCCAGUCACCAAAGCCCGAACUCCCGCUUCAUCUGCUGUAAAGAUAGGAGUAUCCAUAAGAGUUGAGUCAUCCUGAUCUUCUAUGAUCACACCUCUAGUAGCAUACGGGUUGAACCUUCUCUAUUUUUUGACAGAACCCAAUUUUGGCGUCGAUCUGGUAUUCUUAAGCUUUUUUGUGGUUUGUAUAUCCAUAGGCUCAAUCUGAAUGGCUUUCAAUUUUGAUUUGACUGGUAUAAGUGCUGUAUGGAGAGAGGGUUGGUGCACAACAGGACGUUGAUGGAGCUGUUGAUCAGGUUCUUCCUCUGGUACUGUGGAUCUGUUGACUGAACUGGGUCUAUUAGCUGCCAUUAUAGAAGGUGGUAGUGGCAAUAAGGGAAUUGCGGGAAUCUGUGGAGGCGGCGCUUCAGUAUAUGGAAUUUCCUUACAAUACAUCGCGUAGUGCCCAAGUUUUCCACAAGAGUAGCAAAAGUGCGAUGGACGUUCGUAACGGAAAUCAAGCCAAAUAGGUGAAGGUUUGUCAUCCCAGUCUUAAAUAAUUUGUUCAGUGGUUAGGCAACCCAAUCUAAAGCAGAGAGCUACCAGCCGCGAGGAAUCGACAUGGGCUGCCGAAGCCAUCCAAAGUGAAGAAAAAGGAAAGGACAAUACUUGCUAAAACACCGGAAAGCCACAAGACGACUAGGCAAACUGUUGAAGUACACAAUGCAACAAGUGAUGAAGCAAAGGAAACCAAGACAACGAAGUACGCUGACCUUCGACCUCGAGUAACUACAAUUCCACAUUCUUGAAGCAGAUAGAGUUCAAUCGAGGGCAUGUAGAACUAACUAGGGAGAAUCGCUGGAAGGAAGAAGGGCCCAGUGCAACAUCAGUGGCUGAUGAAGCUAAAGGCGACGAGAAAAACUACCAAACUUCAAGCGGAUGGAGAAGUGACGGUGGAAAAAGGGCAUAAAACCAAGAUGUUAGGGUUAGAAAAGGCUACCAGAAGGUAGAAAAGACUCUACAUGGCGAGAGAGGUUUUUUCAUGAAAAGGUUGUAGUCUGAAUAGGUACUAACUCUAAACAUUUGAAAUAUGCAAUAGGUGACAUAUAAUGUCGUGGAAUGUUUAAACCGAACUUUAUUGAUGCUACAAUGAAGUUUGAAAGGAGGGGGGGACAAGGACAGCGGUUGCUCUA